CAGGGCUUCCCGUCCGCUCAGCCGUACUUAAGCCACACGCCGGCUAGUUAGUAGUUGGGUGGGUGACC
rnacentral:rRNA from 1 species